rnacentral:rRNA from 1 species
GACGAACCGUGCGAACGUUAUUCGGAAUCACUGGGCUUAAAGCGCGUGUAGGCGGAUGGGAACGUCGGUAGUUGAAAGCCCCCGGCUCAACCGGGGAAGUGGUGCCGAAACGACCCGUCUGGAGGGACGUAGGGGGACCUGGAACUUCCGGUGGAGCGGUGAAAUGCGUUGAGAUCGGAAGGAACGCCCGUGGCGAAGGCGGCUUCCUGGUCUGCAACUGACGCUGUGGC